UACGUAGGGGGCUAGCGUUAUCCGGAAUUAUUGGGCGUAAAGGGUGCGUAGGUGGUUUCUUAAGUCAGAGGUGAAAGGCUACGGCUCAACCGUAGUAAGCCUUUGAAACUGGGAAACUUGAGUGCAGGAGAGGAGAGUGGAAUUCCUAGUGUAGCGGUGAAAUGCGCAGAUAUUAGGAGGAACACCAGUCGCGAAGGCGGCUCUCUGGACUGUAACUGACACCGAGGCACGAAAGCGUGGGGAGCAAACAGGAUUAGAUACCCUGGUAGUCCCUGAG
rnacentral:rRNA from 1 species